UGUGGAGAAACACACAUUGGGAAAUGAUGACCGUGUUCAAAUUCCUUGUGUUAUGAUCGUGAGGAACCCGAUCUCCAGAGAAGUGGCUGGUAGAAACCAGAGGCCAGAGAAUCCCUGCCUCCACCUCUGCGUCUCUUCAUUCUGCUGCUUCCUCUUCUGUUCAUUGACCUGCAUCAGCUCAUCCUCAUUUCCUUCCUUCUCUCCCGUGUCCUUCAGUUCGUUCACAAGACCUCCCCCAGGGCCAGGGCUGGCCACAGGAUUGUGAAGCUGGAGGCUGUCGAAGUUGGGGAACACCAUCGCACAAUCACCUACUGUAUGCAGAGGAGGAAACACAUCACACCCACUUCAAAGCC